rnacentral:lncRNA from 1 species
CGGGGGGGUCGGAAGGGAGCCGCCAAGUCAUCACUUCUAUAAAUGUGUCCGUUGAAACUACAAAGGUGGAGACGCAUACCACCCACACUGUCAACUCUGGAUGGGAGGCCUUCUAAACGCCUUGAAGAGAUGCAGAUUGACACCCAUAGAAACAGCCAAUUUUAGCAUCAGACUAGAGGCUUAUCCUCCACGGGUUUCCUCUAAGAGGGAAAAGGGAAACACGGAGAGGACUGGAGGAGCCAGCGAGGAUGUCCCCUUGGCGGAGAUUAUAAAUCAUACCCCUCAACACCUCACAGCUAGACAGACUCACUGCCUAUGUGGAUGGUUUACGGUUUCAUACUUUGAGUAG